CCUACGGGAGGCUGCAGUGGGGAAUAUUGCACAAUGGGGGAAACCCUGAUGCAGCGACGCCGCGUGAGUGAAGAAGUAUUUCGGUAUGUAAAGCUCUAUCAGCAGGGAAGAAAAUGACGGUACCUGAUUAAGAAGCCCCGGCUAACUACGUGCCAGCAGCCGCGGUAAUACGUAGGGGGCACGCGUUAUCCGGAUUUACUGGGUGUAAAGGGAGCGUAGACGGCAGCACAAGUCUGGAGUGAAAUGCCGUGGCUGAACCCCGGAACUGCUUUGGAAACUGUGCAGCUAGAGUGCAGUAGAGGUAAGUGGAAUUCCUGGUGUAGCGGUGAAAUGCGUAGAUAUUAGGAGGAACACCAGUGGCGAAGGCGGCUGACUGGACUGUAACUGACGUUGAGGCUCGAAAGCGUGGGGAGCAAACAGGAUUAGAUACCCCAGUAGUC
rnacentral:rRNA from 1 species